UCCUAGGUGGCUCAGACGGUAAAGAAUCUACCUGCAAGGCAGAAGACCCGGGUUUGAUCCCCGGGUCAGGAA
rnacentral:tRNA from 1 species